rnacentral:rRNA from 1 species
UACGGGGGGAGCAAGCGUUGUUCGGAUUUACUGGGCGUAAAGGGCGCGUAGGCGGCGUGACAAGUCACUUGUGAAAUCUCCGGGCUUAACUCGGAACGGUCAAGUGAUACUGUCGUGCUAGAGUACAGAAGGGGCAACUGGAAUUCUCGGUGUAGCGGUGAAAUGCGUAGAUAUCGAGAGGAACACCUGCGGCGAAGGCGAGUCCCUGGACAACUUCUGACGCUGAGGCACGAAAGCUAGGGGAGCAAACAGG